CACUUCCAGGCUGCAGCUCAGGAUAUUUGCCUACAAGUAGGGCUGGCAGUUCUGAAGAUCAGUAGCAUCUGAAGGGUUGACAGCCAGCAAGAUUACUUACGGAAAUGCAGGGGGAUCGAAGAUGGACUUGAUAGCUCCAGCAUAAAUGGACAAUAUGGAUAUUAUUACACAAGCCAAGAAGAGAGAAGCAAAUUUGUUAACAUAUUU